rnacentral:rRNA from 1 species
UACGGAGGGUGCAAGCGUUAUCCGGAUUCACUGGGUUUAAAGGGUGCGUAGGUGGGCAGGUAAGUCAGUGGUGAAAUCUCCGAGCUUAACUCGGAAACUGCCGUUGAUACUAUUUGUCUUGAAUAUUGUGGAGGUAAGCGGAAUAUGUCAUGUAGCGGUGAAAUGCUUAGAUAUUGCUCGGAAGGCCAACGGCGAAGGCAGGUUACUGGUGCGCAACUGACACUGAGGCACGAAAGCGUGGGGAGCAAACAGG